rnacentral:rRNA from 1 species
CUAAUACCGCAUAAGAUUACAGUACCGCAUGAUACAGUGAUCAAAGGAGCAAUCCGCUGAAAGAUGGGCUCGCGUCCGAUUAGAUAGUUGGUGAGGUAACGGCUCACCAAGUCGACGAUCGGUAGCCGGACUGAGAGGUUGAACGGCCACAUUGGGACUGAGACACGGCCCAGACUCCUACGGGAGGCAGCAGUGGGGAAUAUUGCACAAUGGGCGAAAGCCUGAUGCAGCAACGCCGCGUGAGGGAAGACGGUUUUCGGAUUGUAAACCUCUGUUUUCGGUGACGAAUAAAUGACGGUAACCGAGUAGGAAGCCACGGCUAACUACGUGCCAGCAGCCGCGGUAAUACGUAGGUGGCAAGCGUUAUCCGGAAUUACUGGGUGUAAAGGGAGCGCAGGCGGGAUAGCAAGUCAGUUGUGAAAACUAUGGGCUCAACCCAUAGAUUGCAGUUGAAACUGUUAUUCUUGAGUGGAGUAGAGGCAAGCGGAAUUCCGAGUGUAGCGGUGAAAUGCGUAGAUAUUCGGAGGAACACCAGUGGCGAAGGCGGCUUGCUGGGCUCUAACUGACGCUGAGGCUCGAAAGUGUGGGGAGCAAACAGGAUUAGAUACCCUGGUAGUCCACACUGUAAACGAUGAUAACGAGGUGUGGGGGGUCUGACCCCCUCCGUGCCGG